rnacentral:rRNA from 1 species
CCUACGGGUGGCUGCAGUGGGGAAUAUUGGACAAUGGGGGCAACCCUGAUCCAGCCAUGCCGCGUGUGUGAAGAAGGCCCUCGGGUUGUAAAGCACUUUCAGUGAGGAAGAACGCCUGGUGGUUAAUACCCAUCAGGAAAGAGAUCACUCACAGAAGAAGCACCGGCUAACUCCGUGCCAGCAGCCGCGGUAAUACGGAGGGUGCGAGCGUUAAUCGGAAUUACUGGGCGUAAAGCACGCGUAGGUGGCUUGAUAAGCCGGUUGUGAAAGCCCCGGGCUCAACCUGGGAACGGCAUCCGGAACUGUCAAGCUAGAGUGCAGGAGAGGAAGGUAGAAUUCCCGGUGUAGCGGUGAAAUGCGUAGAGAUCGGGAGGAAUACCAGUGGCGAAGGCGGCCUUCUGGACUGACACUGACACUGAGGUGCGAAAGCGUGGGUAGCAAACAGGAUUAGAUACCCUGGUAGUC